GGAUGAACGCUGGCGGCGUGCCUAAUACAUGCAAGUCGAGCGAACAGACGAGGAGCUUGCUCCUCUGACGUUAGCGGCGGACGGGUGAGUAACACGUGGAUAACCUACCUAUAAGACUGGGAUAACUUCGGGAAACCGGAGCUAAUACCGGAUAAUAUAUUGAACCGCAUGGUUCAAUAGUGAAAGACGGUUUUGCUGUCACUUAUAGAUGGAUCCGCGCCGCAUUAGCUAGUUGGUAAGGUAACGGCUUACCAAGGCAACGAUGCGUAGCCGACCUGAGAGGGUGAUCGGCCACACUGGAACUGAGACACGGUCCAGACUCCUACGGGAGGCAGCAGUAGGGAAUCUUCCGCAAUGGGCGAAAGCCUGACGGAGCAACGCCGCGUGAGUGAUGAAGGUCUUCGGAUCGUAAAACUCUGUUAUUAGGGAAGAACAAAUGUGUAAGUAACUAUGCACGUCUUGACGGUACCUAAUCAGAAAGCCACGGCUAACUACG
rnacentral:rRNA from 1 species